GACGAACGCUGGCGGCGUGCUUAACACAUGCAAGUCGAGCGGUAAGGCCCUUUCGGGGGUACACGAGCGGCGAACGGGUGAGUAAGACGUGGGUGACCUGCCCUUAGCUCUGGGAUAAGCCUGGGAAACUGGGUCUAAUACCGGAUAUGACUCCAUGACGCAUGUUGUGGGGUGGAAAGCCUUGUGCGGCUAGGGAUGGGCCCGCGGCCUAUCAGCUUGUUGGUGGGGUGAUGGCCUACCAAGGCGACGACGGGUAGCCGGCCUGAGAGGGCGACCGGCCACACUGGGACUGAGACACGGCCCAGACUCCUACGGGAGGCAGCAGUGGGGAAUCUUGCACAAUGGGCGAAAGCCUGACGCAGCGACGCCGCGUGGGGA
rnacentral:rRNA from 1 species